UACAGAGGGCCCAAGCGUUGUUCGGAUUCACUGGGCGUAAAGGGUGCGUAGGCGGUCGGGUAAGUCUGAUGUGAAAUCUCACAGCUUAACUGUGAAACUGCAUUGGAUACUAUUCGGCUAGAGAGUUGGAGGGGGGACUGGAAUUCUUGGUGUAGCAGUGAAAUGCGUAGAUAUCAAGAGGAACACCAGUGGCGAAGGCGAGUCCCUGGACAACUUCUGACGCUGAGGCACGAAAGCUAGGGGAGCAAACAGG
rnacentral:rRNA from 1 species